UGUCUCCUAACUCAGGGUUCUAUGUUCCUAGGCUCAUCUACUUAUUAAUGCACCCCUUCCUUGCCAAGAAGGUCACAGAGCAGAUUUGCUCCCCCAUCUGCCCAACUUGCUGCAUUUUUAGGCACAUCCACGAAGCCUGAAUUGUGCAGGACAGAAGAUCCCUAGGAAGCACUUAGGAGACCCUGAUGGAAAUGACUUCAAUGAGGACGGGGUGCAAUGGGAAAGGCAAGCCUUUUAUCUUGCCAUGACUCUGAUGGUCAGAGAAAGUCCAUGGAGGUGAAAUGCUGGUAUGAGGGGGCCGACCGCAGAGGCCACACCAACACUUUCCUGGUCAAAAUGCAGCAAUUUGGAAGGAGUCCUCUUGGGUUAGUGCCACAAGACAAUUAAGGAUCUGACCUGCAACCCUUGAGCUGACCAGGUUGUUUCUAAUUUCAGUGUCUGCCCCUGGGAAAGUGGCCUCACCUCUCCGAGACUCAGGUCCUCCAGCUCUGCCAUUCUCGGUCAUCACAGCAAACUGUGGCAUCUUCAGGGCAUGCCAAAGCAUUCUGGAGCCCCAGCUGAGCACAGCAGUUUCCUUCUUUAUUUAGGCAUGCGAGGUUCCGCUGGGGCAGGCUGGCCCCAGCUGUGCUCCUUGGCACAUAAAAUCCCGCCUCCUAUCAAAGCCAAAAUCUAGAGAGCCAUGGGCACUGGUGACCAGGGCAACAGCUACCUCCUCCCUGUUCUACCAAAUGCUGUCCCCUGGGGCCUCGGGAGACAAAUAACCAGUUCACAUCUCAGCAGCUGCCCUGGCUAUAAGUCUACGCGAUUUACCUUGGCUCUCAUUGGCACUGAGAAUGAGGUCAUGGAAGGAAGGAGACAAUGGAGAAGACCUCUGCAAGGGCAGCAGUAAAACACGCUGUCAGGAGGCAGGAGAGGACCCUUGAGUCAUGGGGUCCUCGGCAGCUGUCUUUGAGAGUUAAAUAAUUUCAAGAAGUCCUUGACUGGAAGAUAAAACAUGUG